AAGCGUGCGCAGGCGGUUAUGUAAGACAGAUGUGAAAUCCCCGGGCUCAACCUGGGAACUGCAUUUGUGACUGCAUGGCUAGAGUACGGUAGAGGGGGAUGGAAUUCCGCGUGUAGCAGUGAAAUGCGUAGAUAUGCGGAGGAACACCGAUGGCGAAGGCAAUCCCCUGGACCUGUACUGACGCUCAUGCACGAAAGCGUGGGGAGCAAACAGGAUUAGAUACCCCUGGU
rnacentral:rRNA from 1 species